CACAAGCAGCGGAGCGUGUGGUUUAAUUCGUUGCUACACGAAGAACCUUACCUGGUUUGACAUAUAGGUUGUAGGGAACUGAAAGGGACGACCCUUCGGGGAGCCUAUACAGGUGUUGCAUGGCUGUCGUCAGCUCGUGUCGUGAGAUGUUCGGUUAAGUCCGCUAACGAGCGCAACCCUCGUCGUAUGUUAUAUGUGUCAUACGAGACUGCCGGUAAAAAGCCGGAGGAAGGUGAGGAUGAUGUCAAGUCAGCAUGACCUUUAUAUCCAGGGCUACACACACGCUACAAUGGUCUGUACAAUGGGUAGCCAAGCCGCGAGGCGGAGCCAAUCCUGAAAGCAGGCCUCAGUUCAGAUUGCAGUCUGCAACUCGACUGCAUGAAGCCGGAGUUGCUAGUAACCGCAGGUCAGCAAUACUGCGGUGAAUACGUUCCCGGGUCUU
rnacentral:rRNA from 1 species